UACGUAGGGGGCAAGCGUUGUCCGGAAUUAUUGGGCGUAAAGAGCGUGUAGGCGGCUCGGUAAGUCCGCUGUGAAAGUCCAGGGCUCAACCCUGGAAUGCCGGUGGAAACUGUCGGGCUAGAGUCCGGAAGAGGCGAGUUGGAAUUCCUGGGUGUAGGCGGUUGAAAUGCGCAGAUAUCAGGAGGAACACCAAUGGCGAAGGCAGCUCGCUGGGACGGUACUGACGCUGAGACGCGAAAGCGUGGGGAGCAAACAGG
rnacentral:rRNA from 1 species